CCUACGGGUGACAGCAGUCGAGAAUCAUUCACAAUGGGGGAAACCCUGAUGGUGCGACGCCGCGUGGGGGAAUGAAGGUCUUCGGAUUGUAAACCCCUGUCAUGUGGGAGCAAAUUAAAAAGAUAGUACCACAAGAGGAAGAGACGGCUAACUCUGUGCCAGCAGCCGCGGUAAUACAGAGGUCUCAAGCGUUGUUCGGAAUCACUGGGCGUAAAGCGUGCGUAGGCUGUUUCGUAAGUCGUGUGUGAAAGGCGCGGGCUCAACCCGCGGACGGCACAUGAUACUGCGAGACUAGAGUAAGGGAGGGGGAACCGGAAUUCUCGGUGUAGCAGUGAAAUGCUUAGAUAUCGAGAGGAACACUCGUGGCGAAGGCGGGUUCCUGGACAUUAACUGACGCUGAGGCACGAAGGCCAGGGGAGCGAAAGGGAUUAGAUACCCGUGUAGUC
rnacentral:rRNA from 1 species